AUGAACGCUGGCGGCGUGCCUAAUACAUGCCAGUCGAGCGAACAGACGAGGAGCUUGCUCCUCUGACGUUUGCGGCGGACGGGUGAGUAACACGUGGAUAACCUACCUAUAAGACUGGGAUAACUUCGGGAAACCGGAGCUAAUACCGGAUAAUAUAUUGAACCGCAUGGUUCAAUAGUGAAAGACGGUUUUGCUGUCACUUAUAGAUGGAUCCGCGCCGCAUUAGCUAGUUGGUAAGGUAACGGCUUACCAAGGCGACGAUGCGUAGCCGACCUGAGAGGGUGAUCGGCCACACUGGAACUGAGACACGGUCCAGACUCCUACGGGAGGCAGCAGUAGGGAAUCUUCCGCAAUGGGCGAAAGCCUGACGGAGCAACGCCGCGUGAGUGAUGAAGGUCUUCGGAUCGUAAAACUCUGUUAUUAGGGAAGAACAAAUGUGUAAGUAACUAUGCACGUCUUGACGGUACCUAAUCAGAAAGCCACGGCUAACUACGUG
rnacentral:rRNA from 1 species